CCCAUUGGUCUCGUUCACUUCCAGCAGAACAUAGGUUAUGGAAAUGCUGUGGCCAUUGCUGGUCUUAGUAGCCAAAACCCUGGAGUUAUUACCAUUGCAAAUGCUGUGUUUGGAUCUAAACCUCCUAUCUCUGAUGAAGUUCUCGCCAAAGCUUUUCAAGUGGACAAAAACGUAAUCGACUACCUUCAGAAACAAUUCGGGUACAACAACAAAGUUAACGGGAAACAUAAUUAAAUCGUGAUACCAUCUGGCUCGGACCAUGGAUAAAUAAUUUUCUCAAUAUCGCUUUCUCAAGCAAUUACUGCAAUGUUAAAUAAAAUGCAUGUGGCUAUUAUGCAUUGUUGUAAGUCCAAUAAAGGACAAUAACAGUGGCUAACAUAUAUAUGUCUAUAUAAGAUGUUAUAUAUCAAUAUUGAUAAUGAUAAGUUAAAAAAAGAAAUACUAAGAGUUCAAGAAUUGAAAUACCUUCUUUCAUAUAUCUUCCAAUUAAUUUCUAACACAUGAAAACUUAUAGAAAGAGGUUUAUUUUCUUUCAUGAGACUCAAUUUGAAAAUUAAUUUAUUGAAGUGUGAUUCAUUAAUCCAAUGAGUUUAACUUAGAACUAAAAAUUGAAUUCAUUAAAUAAAUGAGUUAAAUUUGAGGUAAAAUUAUUUUGACUCAUUUGAUCAUAAACCUAUUUGUGUGUAUGUAUAUUAUUAAAUUCAUAAAAUUAAGUUUAAAAUUAAUUUUAUAUUAUAAAAAAUAUAACAUGAUCAUAAUUUUAAAUCAAAUUGAAUUAAUGAUUUGAAUUAAAACUAGUUUGCAAGAUUGAAUCGAUUCAAAUAUGAAUUGAAGAAAAAACAAUUCAUAUUAAACUUGAAUCAAACUUUGAGGGUGAAUAUCAAUUUUAAUUUGAGACGAAUUAAAUUAAGUAUAAUUGACUCAACUUAAUUUUAACCUUAACUUUUUUUUUAAUUAUUUGAAAGGUUUUCAGCCUUAGCUAUUCCAUAUUUGAUUGAAGAGCCUUACUAUUUGGUAAGAAAUAUAAUCAUAUGAAAGCAACGAAGAGAAACUCAAAUCAAUCACAAGUUCACUACUAGAAAAUAGACUUUUUACAUCGAUUAUCGACGUUUUUCUACAUCGGUUAUCAUGCGUCGUUGUAGCCGGAAUCAUUUAAACAUCGUCAUCAUACAACGAUGGGUGCCCGACCGUUGUAGAAUGCUGACAUUCUACAUGUCUUAGAAUGGACAGACUUCUACAUCAGUUGUCCUAAUAACCGAUGUAGAAUGUCAGAAUUCUACAUCGGGUGUGUCCUAUACCGUCGUAGAUUUCUAUUCCACAAUGAAGCAUUCUAUAUCGGGUGUGGCCUGAACCAAUGUAGAAUUAUUAAUUAUUUUUUUUAAUUUUUUUGCUUUUUGUUCAUAAAUGACAAUAACAAUAUGUAAAUAUAAUUGUACUUAAUGUCUCGUAUGAGAUUUACUGGUCAAAAUUCAACAAUGAAAAUAGUAAAUGAAUAUAAGUUCAUUACUAAGCUGUUCAAUCUUCUUCUCUAGAGAUGGAACACAAAACAGGUACUAAAAUAAGCAUAGGAAACAAAAAAUAUUGAAUGAAGUGGAAUUCCUAACCUUUACAGGUGUUGGAUUUUCAGGGCAUGGAUUCAAUAUAUGCUCACCAAGAACAAAAUUUUGAAGUCUCCAAACAUAUGCCUGGGCAGUAUCCAUAUGACAAGUGACCACAUUGCACCAAUCACGCUCUCUAAUUUUAGCUGAUGUUUGCACAAAAAAAGAUUAUGUGAACUUCUGACGGCAGAUUAUAUAAUAAAUUCAUUGAGAAGACAUAUGGAAGUGCAAAAACAAAUAAACUACAUGUGUUUGCAUGUCUAUUUAAUCAUGAGUUUUUAUUUUGGUUUCUUUCACUCAACAGAAGAUUAGAGAUAAUAUUUGGUGAUUGGCUUCUAUUUGGUGUAUAAAGCAAACGAUCUUUUAAGGGGGUUCCCCUGCAGAGAGAUUAGGUACUAUGCAGCAUUUUUCCAUUGAUGUUCUCUCUUAAUUUCCAUGCAUGACACCUUAAUUUUCUAUGGUUCUGUAUGCUAAAUUUGUCUCAAGGUACAUAUAUCUUAAUUUUGUGCCGCCUUUUCUUAUCACAUAUAUCUUAACAUACAUAACACAUAAUACUAAACAAGAACUUGAAAUUAAUUAUCAGUAAUAUUUACCAUGACCCAUCCCCAAAUAUCAGCAUAGGAUGGGAUGUGAGCUGAAUAAGGCACAACCAACACGAUUGUGCCAUGUAGCUUACCUCAGAACCACUGUAGCCACUAGCUCCAAGCACAACAACACGAACCUCAUUUUGGAAGUGUCUAUAUAGUCUUAAAAAUGAUAUUGAUGUCCUGAAAUCAAACUAAUUAAAAACAAUUAUCUUGGUUACUUUCAUAAGAAAUAAAAAUAUAUAUUUAUAACUCAAUAAGAAAGGAGAGAGAAAAACUAAGAACACUUGUGAAAAUUGUUGGACAAAUUUCAAAGUGAAUAAUAUUUCUGGAGAUUUUGUCUUUAACUGAAUCUAAUAAACUUUCAGCUAGUGAAUCUAAUAAUAUAAUUAGCAAAACAAAUCACACCUAAGAAGCUUAAAUAAGGAAACGCCAAAAAAAAAACAAUUAGCAAAAGAAUUUUGGAGUAUGACAAUAUAAAUUUAUAAUAAUCAAUUACGUAAAGCUCCAAAGACCCCUCUCUCCUCUCCUAUUCUUUAUCUCAUUAUAUACCAAUAUAAAUUUGAGUGAUAACCAAUAUCACCAAAUUUUAGAGUAAAAGGAACCUGUACAUCUCGUGAAGUAAUACACAUUGAGGUAAAAAAACAUUUAAAAUAUUUUAGUGUACACAUUUUUAUACUUAUUUUAUUUUUAUAACUACAUUCAUAAUCAGUAUUUUAUCUUUAUAAUAAUUACUACUUUCAUAAAUUACCACUAAUUAUAAUUUUUUUAAAAAAAUGAAAAAGCAAUAAGACACAAAAUAUCUAUUUCCCAGCUGAUCAUAAUAAAAAUAUAUUUUUUGACUCAUAUUGAUCACAUCCACAAUGUGUUCUUAUAAAGUAUAUUUAUAAUUGGCAAAGUUACAUGCUGUCAUUAUUCAUAGUAAAAGUAUUCAUCAUAAUAUAUAUAUAUAUAUAUAUAUAUAUAUAUAUAUAUAUAUUCAUGCAAAAUUCUAUAUUUAAUAUUAAUUAUAUUAUUUAUUAUAUUUACUUUUAUAAUAUUUUUUCCCACUAAUAAUGAUAAAAGGUUAUCCUUAUUACUAAGUAAUUUUAAAAUCAUAUUUUAAUUGGUAUGCAAUUUAUUUAACAAUUUCAAAUUAGAGCCUUUAAGAUAAAAAUAUAACUGCAUGAAAUACUUGAAAAUAUAUCUUCAGCAUAGGGAUUAAAAUUAUCAACAGUAUCCUGUACAAAAAGAAAGGCAUAUCAAAUAUAUUUUAUACCCUACCAGUAAACAUAGCCUACAUUUUUGGUUUGCAGGCUGAUAAUAUCAUUUUCCCCAAAGGGCUUAGUGGACUCCAUGUCAUAAUCUCUUGAAAACUAUUCCAAUCCAACCUGAGCAUAAAAACAAUUGCAAUUAAUAAAAGCUUCGUAUAAAAAAAAUAAAACAAGAUGACGAGAUACUGAUUGGUGUAUGCAGUACUUUUUAUUUUUAUUUUUUUACACUAGAUAUAAAUUAAAUUUUAGUCACAUAUUUAUAACAGUAUUCCAAAAAAAUUAGUUUCUUUUAAAUGAUAUAAAUACUAAAUAAAUUAAUUAAAUUUAUAAAAUUGAUAAUAAAUAAAUAUUUUGGAAUAAUAUUUUGGAAUAAAUAAAUAAUUUUUCUAGUAGUGGUUGCACUACCAUACAUGGUGGGAUCAGCUAAGAUAUUGUCUUCAAUAAAAUUUCUCCAAAAUACCAUUUGUAUAUAUCAGUUUCGUACUAUAUAUAUAUAUAUAUAUAUAUAUAUCUUUUCCCUUAAUUGAAAUGAGCAAAGAUAUAAGAAAAUAAGCAAGGAAAGAUACCAGAUCCAUGCUAUAACAGUCGAUAACUAAUCUACAUGUUUAGCCCCUGGACAACACAAAUUGUUGGAAUAUUUUAAAAAUAAAAUUCACAGUGGACAACACUAAUUGCUUAAACACUUUCAAUUAAUGAAAAUUAUAGCGUAAAAUGUUCAUACUUACAAGAAAUUGAAGUAAUUACUAAACUUAAAUGGGGUCUCUAAAUUAUCCUAUGUGAAAAUAGAAAUAAUUAGCCCUAUAUAUUGUACCAAUUUGGUGUAAUUAAUACUUUCAAUCAGUCAUGUUAAAGUACAUAUAUAGAGAAUUAUAUCGAUCAGGUGUGAUGAGGUAAUUUAGCCCCAUUUUUGUUUAGAAUAAGUUAGACAAUCCCAAUUUAAAAUAGCCGUGAUUACUAAUUUUAAAUUACAGUAAUAUCUUAACCGUAACGUUGAGCACCAAUGAAACACUUAGGCAAAAAGAAAAAAUGAAACCAUUGAUGUGUGGCACUAGUUCUUCUAGUCUUCUAGUCUGUCUAGAAAGGGAAAUGCUUAGAAAAUUUUAGCCGCCUGGUCUCAAAUCUAACAACUCUAUAUCAUAUUCACCAGCUCCCAUUAUAAAACUAAUUUUUCAAGCACAGGUAUUGGAUACCUACAAUUUCAGUUGUAGAAGGUAAUACUGAAAAAUUUAUCAUGACGUUGAUGUGGGACAUCUUAAUCUAAUAUUUUGACAAGCAUAUUUAGUCAUUACGAAUGCUUCAACCAUCAAAUAGUUAACUAAUCCUAGAAUUGGUAAUAUAUAUAUAUAUAUAUAUAUAUAUAUAUAUCAAUGGCUUCGUCCUAUAAAUAGCUAACUUCCCAUGCUACAAAAUACAAGUCUCUCACACACUUAGAAUUAAGUUAGUAGCGAGAGAGGGAGAAAUGAAGGUUGUUUACUUCUUCGUUGUGCUAUUGGCUUUGGCAUCCUCCAUUGCCUUUGCUUAUGAUCCAAGCCCCCUGCAAGACUUUUGUGUGGCUAUCAAUGAUACCAAAACUGGUGGUAUAUACGUUUUAUAUUCUUACUCUUGCAUAAAUUUUGGUUCUAGUAUAUUUUGAGUAAAAAAUAAUCAUCAUAAAACUAGUUUCUAAGUGAUUUGGUUUUUUAAUGUGCAGUGUUCGUGAAUGGAAAAUUUUGCAAGGAUCCAAAGCUUGCUAAGGCUGAAGAUUUCUUCUUUCCUGGAUUGGGACCCGGAAACACUUCAAACCCCCUAGGCUCAAAGGUGACAGCUGUCACGGUUAAUGAAAUAUUAGGGCUCAACACACUUGGCAUUUCCUUGGCACGCAUAGAUUUUGCACCAAAGGGUUUGAACCCUCCACACACUCACCCUCGAGGGACAGAGAUUCUUGUAGUCUUGGAAGGUACCCUCUAUGUUGGCUUUGUUGCGUCCAAUCAAAACGAUAACCGUUUAUUCACCAAAGUGCUGAACAAGGGUGAUGUGUUUGUGUUCCCUAUUGGGCUCAUUCACUUCCAGCAAAACAUAGGUUAUGGAAAUGCUUUGGCCAUUGCUGGUCUUAGUAGCCAAAACCCUGGAGUUAUUACCAUUGCAAAUGCUGUGUUUGGAUCUAAACCUCCUAUCUCUGAUGAAGUUCUUGCCAAAGCUUUUCAAGUGGGCAAAAACGUAAUCGACUACCUUCAGAAGCAAUUCUGGUACAACAAUAGUUAGGUGGGAACAUAAUAGAAUCGCGAUACCGUACAUCUUGCUCUGGCCUAGGUUGGAUAAAUGAUUUUC
rnacentral:lncRNA from 1 species